rnacentral:rRNA from 1 species
CCUGCGUGCGCUUUACGCCCAGUAAUUCCGAUUAACGCUUGGACCCUACGUAUUACCGCGGCUGCUGGCACGUAGUUAGCCGGCCCUUAUUCUUCCGGUACCGUCAUCCACACCUAAUAUUAGUAAGUGCGAUUUCUUUCCGGACAAAAGUGCUUUACAACCCGAAGGCCUUCUUCACACACGCGGCAUUGCUGGAUCAGGGUUGCCCCCAUUGUCCCAAAAUUCCCCACUGCUGCCUCCCGUAGGACGUCUGGGCCGUGUCUCAGUCCCAGUGUGGCUGAUCGUCCUCUCAGACCAGCUACUGAUCGUCGCCUUGGUGAGCCUUUACCUCACCAACUAGCUAAUCAGACAUCGGCCGCUCCUAUAGCAUGAGGCCUUGCGGUCCCCCACUUUCACCCUCAGGUCGUAUGCGGUAUUAGCUAAUCUUUCGACUAGUUAUCCCCCACUACAGGGCACGUUCCGAUGUAUUACUCACCCGUUCGCCACUCGCCAUCAAUCUAGCAAGCUAGAUCAUGCUGCCGUUCGACUUGCAUGUGUAAGGCAUGCCGCCAGCGUUCGAUCUGAGCCAGGAUCAAACUCUCCA